rnacentral:tRNA from 1 species
GCCUGGGUGGCUCAGUUGGUUAAGCGUCUGACUUUGGCUCAGGUCAUGAUCUCACAGUUUGUGAGUUUGAGCCCUGCCUCUGGCU